GUGGGGAAUAUUGGGCAAUGGGCGAAAGCCUGACCCAGCAACGCCGCGUGAAGGAAGAAGGCUUUCGGGUUGUAAACUUCUUUUGUCAGGGACGAAAAAAAUGACGGUACCUGACGAAUAAGCCACGGCUAACUACGUGCCAGCAGCCGCGGUAAUACGUAGGUGGCAAGCGUUAUCCGGAUUUACUGGGUGUAAAGGGCGUGUAGGCGGGAAAGCAAGUCAGAUGUGAAAACUAUGGGCUCAACCCAUAGCCUGCAUUUGAAACUGUUGUUCUUGAGUGUCGGAGAGGUAAUCGGAAUUCCGUGUGUAGCGGUGAAAUGCGUAGAUAUACGGAGGAACACCAGUGGCGAAGGCGGAUUACUGGACGAUAACUGACGCUGAGGCGCGAAAGCGUGGGGAGCAAACAGGAUUAGAUACCCUAGUAGUCC
rnacentral:rRNA from 1 species